rnacentral:lncRNA from 1 species
CAGAGUAGAAAAAUACAUUUAUUUUAGAUAAAGUCAGCUUCACAGACAGUAGUAGCUUUGCGAGUGUUACUGAAGAUACUGUUAGUGCAAGCACGUUUUUGAUGUCUGCUCAGAACUGCUCUAGUUAAAUCUAACUGCAUCUCACCACUCCUUCUUGCUGCAAUUAUUUAUCCAGAACAUUUCUUCCAGCUGUGCUGACUGGCCCUUUCAGAGAUUGUCGACAUUUCCUCUUGGUUUUCUUCUCCCUACUUGGCCUGUUUUGUAGGUUUUCUUCCAGCUAUUCAAGAGCAUGAUGAUCUAACUCCAUGAAGGAUUAAGUUGUUAAAACAGGCAGAGGCUGACCAGAGAUCUAUUGAUGGCUGAGUUCUAUCUUUGAUAUCUCUGACAGUAAAGAGAUUGUGCCCUACCCAGUCCAUCCUUCUGUGCCUUCUGCUCUGCAGGGCUUUUUCCAAUUAACGGUCAUUGCAAAAUCAAUUUUCUCUAGUUAGGGCCCUCAACAAUCUCUGGAACUUUGUUUAAUGUUUGCAAGAGAUUUGUGGAAUCUGCUUUUUUAUGCUUUGGUAAUAAUCUGGUAGGUUUUAACUUGGUCUCUCUGACAUGAUAAUAAUACAUAGCCCACAGUAAGGCAGCGACCCACCAAGGAUACCUUGUGUGAGAACUAAGCAGGGUAUGUGGGGGAUGUCCUUACCUAUCCCAAAAUCCCACGGCUCUAUACUGGAUCACUGUGACUGGGAGGUGAAAUGAAAUGGAAGGAGAGAGGGAAAAGUUGUUUUUUGCCAUGAUUAUGAAGUCUUUGUGGUUUUAAGCCACUCAGGCUGAAUAUCCUAACUGAAUAUGCUCCAAUAGCUAUGCCAGGUUAUACUUGCAAUAUGGUAUAAAAUUCAUGGCAUCGAGUUCUGACAGAAGCAGCCAAGGCAAUGUGCAGCUCAGUUCAGGUUUGCUGUACAGACAUUAUCUAAUUUUAAAGGGAAUAACUCCAGCGUGGGCCAUUGCUAAGCCUGGGGGAAGAGGCCAUGCACUGACUUGUGCACAUGGUUUGGGAAAAUGGUAGUGGUUGGGCAAGGGGGAAGGAGGUGCAGAAGGGAUCAGGAGCAGUGUUUGGAAGAACUAGGCUGAGUCUGAGAGCUGCUACGUUUCUUUUCCUACAGUACAUGGAUAUUGCUGCCACAGGACUAAAGCACAUCUUGCUUACUUUGCAAUGGAACUUGAGAUUAAAAGGAGCAAUUAAAAAGGUAUUCAGAAACUGUUUUUUCUCUAUCUUAGGAAAAUAAAACAGAAGAAAAAGACAACUGCUAAUCAUACAAGCUAAUACUCUUUUACUUAAGAGACCUAUUCGUCUUAUUGCAAAACAUAAUGCUGUCCAAAGAUUGCUGAGCUUGCUCUGAAGGGGUAAAGCUGAGUGCUAGAAACACUACAGUUGUGUUGGAAUAGUCCUUGGUGGGGCUGGAGCACCUCUGCACACGCAGGGGUUUUCUCCUAUAUGCACAUAUGCACACUGCUAUGCACAUUGCAUAUUGCUAUUCCUAAUCCUCCAAGGCAAGUAUCAAACCAGAGCCCUAACCAUCUAAGUAAGACUGCUAAAUAAGAAGAGUGACAAGCAGGUUAUAGGUCCCCAUCCUGGACUUUGAUCAGGCUUCCACUAUAGACUACAAUAUCAGUCAGAGUUUUAUCCCUUGUUUUGUCAACAAAAGUCACUCUGUGGAUUUAGUUAUGACAAAACUGUGCAUUCACCAGGGUCACUUAUUUCACCCAUAUUACGCAGCAAAAAUGAAAUUCUGCCAGAAUAAACAUGUCUACACCAUGUGCUAGAACAGCUUACUAGAAAUAGCUACUCCAAGACAGCUCUCUGCUAUGGCCCAUGUUUAUCACAGGGAAACUGGGAGAUCUUGCUCUAGCACAGAUCAAACUGCAAGACAUAAGGUCAGACAGCAAGAGUCUGGGAAGUGUCCCAAUUCCUAAUGUUACUUCUCUUUGCCUUAGUAGCAAAGAGGUAUUGGCAGCUUUAGUCACGCUGCCUCAUGCAGAGGAGCUACGGACCAGGGGAAGCUAACUGUUUCUGUCUGGUUUAAUUUGACCACUUAAACAGUUAAUCCCUUUGUAAUGUCAUUUUUUGGCAUAGACAUCAUGUCUGUCUACUUCUGAAAAGAUCUUUUUAUUAAUACAGCUUUUUAGCAUAUGAAACAGUUUGCAUCAGCUUACAGUGCCUUAGCAGCAGCAGACCGCUGUCGGUAGGUAUGCACACAGACAGGCACACAGACAUAGGCAUCUAUCCAUCCACAUUACGUCUAAACAUCCCUUGCUCAGUCCCUUCUAAUUCUUCUGAUUUAUUUAUUUGGUCACUUUUUCCAGUGUUUUCAUAUCUUUUGUUUCAUGGACAACGUUGCUACCUUGUUCCAGUAUGUUUAGCUCAGGCUCUGCUUUGCUUUAAAUCCUCCCUUACUUGUAAAUAGUGAACAUACUGGAGGGAGUCCAAUGAUUAAGGGACUGGAGCAUCCCAAAUGAGGAAAGGCUGAGAGAGCUGGGAACGGUUUCCCUCAGAGUAGAGAAGGUUCUGGACAGAUAAUAUAUAUAUAAAUAUCUGAAAAAGAUGGAGCCAGGCUCUUUUUCGUGGUGCCCACUGAUGAUAUAACACACAUAAACUGAAACACAAGAAGUAGUAUCUGAAUAUAACCCUGCCCACAGCAGGAAGGUUGGAACUAGAUGAUCUUUGAGGUCCCUUCCCAAAUUGUUAUAUCAUUCUAUGAUAAGGAAACUCUUCUUUACUAUGGGAAUGACUGAGCAAUGGAGCAGGUUGCCCAGAGAAUUUGUAGAGUCUGCAUCCUUGGAGAUGUUCAAAAGCUGCCUGGACACAUGCUGAGCAAUGGGCACUAGGAAGCCCUGCAUGAGCAAAAGAAGACUUUACUCAAUGACCUCCAGAGUGCCUUCUGAAAUCAGCAGGUGUGGGAUUCUCUGAAAUAGGAUCGUUAGAUUAGCACUUAGGUUCAGCAGGACAAUGGUGCAGGGAAUUUGUUUGUUUUGGUUUGUUUCUCAGUAUGUAAAGAGUUUGUGACAACUUCAGGGCACACUGAAAUAAUUUCAACUGCAGUAGCAACCACUUGCAGUAGACAGCAUACAGGGAAACGACUUUCAUAAUUAAUAUCAACAUGCACAGUCCCGAUGCUGAGAAAGCGGCAUCUGUAACUAGACAAGUAGACGGGAGCUGCUCUCUUCCACGGUUCUUUUAUUUAUCCCUGCAUGAAAGUGAUGAAAUGUCAUCUGUUUUUGCACGUGUGAAAAGAUCUUGCACAGAGGACUCAUGGCUAAGAACGUGCAUGUUGUGUUUUCACAGCAAAAAUAAUGUUGGUUUGCAAUGCCGAGGUAUGUAGUAUUUUUACUAGAGCUGUGAGAGAUUAAAAAAACUGCUGAGAAGACAUGGCCCUAUAUGUCUCUUUUUUUCCCCCUUUCUUUUCUAAUUAAUUUAAAUUAAUUUAAUUUAAGUCCACUCAGAAAUAUAGUCAGAAGUAGAGGAGGAGAGGGAGUGGAACAUAGACAAAUAGGGGAAUGAAAACUGAGCAUGAUUUAAAUAGGAAAAUCAAGUUUCACCUGCACCUGGAGUAAUUGUGGAAAGACAUGGCUUUCCAACAGAUGAUGAUUUUUUUUUUUUAAGUACCUGUAAUGGGCCAUGGGAAGGUGAUGGAGUAACAGAGUAGCUGAACUUGACUGAAAAUAUGUUUAAUUUAGAGAUUGCCAGAUACCCUUCUGGCAACUUCAUAUUAAGGUUUUUAUAUGCUGUGGGGUAUUUCUUGUUCUCUGGGUCAAAUUUGGAUAUAUUCUUACGGUAGAAUGUAUUGUGUGUCAGCUGACAUGCAUUAUGCUCUAUCUAUGUCUUGUGAAAGUAAAAUUAGGCAAGCAAGAUGUUCUGAGGCAAAAUUUGAAUAAGAUACAUUAGAAUUAAGAAAACAGAUACAGAAACACGCUUUCAUGGGUUAGAGAAGAAGAUUUAAAACAAGAAAUCUAAAAGGCCUGAAAAUAUAGUAACUGUCCUUAAAUUGUCUCUAGUAAAUUUACUUUCUAAAAGAAGAUAUCCAAAGACUUAAUUGUAUUUCAUGCCCCUAGCUCUAAUGCCACACUGUUUCAGUAUUUAUAUAUGCCCUGUAAAGCUGGUAUAUUUGAUAUGUCAUUCAUUAGUCUGUGCUGGCUUAUUCUUUGAGGUGUGGUAAUUAAGAUCAGUUCUUUAGAGGAUUCAGUUAUUCUGUUUUGGGCUUGUUAAUAUGUUAGUUGUGUAUUCUGAUUCCAAUUGUUUAAUGGUUUCCAUUAAAUAAUGAAUAAAACCCCUUUCGGGAAGCCAGUUAGAAAUGCAUGACUUAUUCAGUGUGAGGUAUCUUCAAAUCUUGGCAGCUUUGGGCUGAGGAAGAAUUGAAAAAUAGUUUUAUCCCCAACCACACAGUGACAAAGUGAUUGGAUUGUUUUAUAUGGUAGUGAAAUUGUUUGUACGGGAAAGUGACUUUGUCUUUGUUACAUAUUUGUUUCAUAAAUUAGAAAAAAAGAUCUAAGGUAAACGUUCAGCUCAUCUGGUUUAUAACAGAAACCAUGACUAUAGUGGAUAGAGUACAAAGAUGAGCUCAUCCAAGAAUUCUUCUGAAACAGCAAUUUAUCACCUAGGUAAUUUUAAAGGUUCCUCGUGUCAUUGUAAGGGUGGCAGACGCAGACUUUAAAAAAAUGUUCUUUAUAGUACCUGAAUAGGCUGAUGCUUAAAACAGAGACUUAACUAAUGAUAGACUAUGCAUCUUGUAACUAUUGGCUAAAAAUCUUCAGCAUCUGCACUGAAAUGGAUCACAGAAAAUUGUCUCUUCUUCCAUUCAACAAGGAUGACUUCCAGUAUCAUUAGCAAUUGUUCCCAAGAAAAUUCUGGUUUGGAUUAUAUUAUAUAUACAAUGGGAAUUUAUUUGAGGUUUCCCAAGUUUACUAGUUCCAUUCCCAUGAGCUAACAGACAGUAGAUCAAGUGCUUAACAGUCAAGAAUUCCCAUGGCAAAUAUCCACCAACGUCCCUUUCAUCUGAUGCAAUGGCAUAGUGCCCAUUCUUCUGCUUCAUCAUUCUCCUUCAGUAUACUCAGAGUUCCAGGAAAGGGCCAUAUCAUGUAUUAGACUUCGCGGGAGACAUGAAGCCUAAUCUUUAAAACCUUAUGGUUCUAUUUCGUUUUUUUUUUGCUGACCACUGGAAACAAUUACAGAACAGACAACACAUGAGAAUGUCUGACAGCUUCUUCAGUUUCUUUGCGCUCAAUUGCUUAAUGAGACUUUAGGUUUAUGCUUAUUGCAAUCACAGUACCAGAGACUUCAUUUACAUCUACAUCUUGCAAAUGGACAAGAACUGGGUAACUGAUGGUCAAGGUGGCUCUCGUGAGGGCACCUGAAACCCACCUGUUUGGCCUGGACAUACCUGCUGAUAUUGGCACUAUGGAUCUCACAUCAAGGUAAAUUAAUGGAAGUGUCUUACAACACCCUGGGAACCCAAACUGCAGCCCAUCUGUACUCAAAUCACAUCAGAGAUGUCUACCAGGGCAAUCCGUCAUCGAGCAUGAAGAGAGAUGUGGAUCAAAAAAGCGGGUGACUACAUUCAGCCAGAGGCAGCCUAAACCGUGAUAAGCAACUCCUCUGUAUGGACCAGACAAGGGGCUGCAGAUGCAGCUUUAAAGGUGAGAUCUGCAUACCACAAGAUGAGGACAAUAGGACCCAUCCAGACAGCUAAUGUGAUUCGCCAAUGUAAGCUGCAAGACUUCAGUUCUCGGUUGCAGUUGCAUUAUUACACCCUAUGCUCUGUAUGGGGAAACAAUUAAAACAGGUUUGGCAUACUAGAGAAAACACCAGAAUAUGACAUUGCUGCAUAACAUAGAAGACCUUCUCUUGCUUUUAUGUACAUAUUUGUUGCAAAGAAGAAUAAGAAAGUGUUUAAGGAAUAUAUUAACUCCCCUACAGUUCCUUAAAAUGAAAGUAUGGGCUAUGAAUUAUGUACACCUCUCUGUAAGGACCAAAGCCUGACAAAAAAAAGAAACAGAAGAUUUGCAUUCAGAGACGUCUCUAUUUUAAUAGAGAAGGAUUUUACCCAAAAGUACGUGCUACUGUGUGACAGACAGCUGCUUGACUGGCAAGAGGGAAGCAGAUGACUACCUGAUGAUGGCCAAUUUUCCUGCAGCUCAGCUGGAGGGCUUCUAGUCCAAGCCAAGUUGUCUUGGCUCCCUCUAUAGUCCAAAUAAAGAAAAAGGCACUUCUGGAGAGCAGCUGUUCUCAUACCACACGUUUAUCUUUGGUGCACUGAUGCCUCUUGAUCCCCAGCGUGCUGCAGAGGGGACCUUGAUGAGCAUCUUAGACAAGAACUCAAGUAUUUGACAGUCAACACCAGGUGAGAUGAACUAUAAUGACUGGUGCAACUGAUACACGUAGUUAAUGCCAAAGUACACCUGUGCCCAUUAAUUUAGUCACAUGCGUCAGGCUUCAAAAAUCCAGAUGAGCACUUGAGAUUUGAUUCAAGCUUUAUAACUAUCUGUUUCAUAUUUGAAUCAAAAGUGGCUAUAAAGUGAAAUGUGAGAUUCUCAUAUGUAUGUUACAGUGUUAUGAAAACAGCCAGCUGAGAGGGCAAAACGAGGCAGCGCCUUAUAACUUUUCCUCAUCACAGAGAGGCAUGAAGCAAGCCUGUAGUUUGCAUUUUGCCUACAGCCCUCUCCAAGAAAGAGGGUGGAUGGUUGUUUUCAAUUGUUCAGCUUUGGUGCAGGUCUUUGCAAACCAUAAUUUGAAAGUAAUUGUGGUAAUUACUGCAACUGAAAAAGUUAAAAUGUGCAAGUUCAAUUUUGCUCAGGUAAAGCUGUGCCAGUAAUGGCACCAUUCAUCAUUUUCUGUAAAAACAGUAACAGGUGUUAAUCUACACUCACUGAUGGGAGCAAUGUGAGUGCACAAUAAGCAAAGUGCCAAAAAAAAAAAAAAAAAAAAAACCCACCACCAAAGUACUGUCACCGAGAAAGAACUUCUAGUAAUGUCUUUGUAAUUGGACUCAACUGAAGAGUGAAAAAUUAUUUGACUUUUCAGUGAUGGAGAUUGCUAAUGAACCCAAUUUUUCUCUUCCACCUUGAUUAGCUUUCUGUAGGAAGAUCCAUUGUAGCUCUGCACAAUGAAGCUUGCAGGAAUAGACACCCAGCUGCUGUAAUUUUAUCAGCCCUCCCACUUACUGAAAAGUAAUCUUUUUUCUUUUUUUUUUUUUUUCUUCUUUGACAGGCUGUUGAACUAACUGUUACUAGGUUUUCAAACAUAAUGGAAAACAGUGGGAAGUAGAAUUUAAAUAGGACUUGAACAGCAAUUUUGCAAUUUUUCCAGCCUUAACAGAAACUUUAUAAGACUUCUAAAUGCCUCACACAUCCUGUCCUCCCAAGGUUCUGGAUGUUACUUGUGAGAUACCCUUGGACUAGGGUUGUGUCUUCUGCUCAUUGCUGUACAGAGCUAUCUUAUGGAGCAAGAGGAUAGCCAAAAUAUCCUGUGCUUUGUGUGUGAACUUACUAAAUGGCAUCCAAUUUAUCUACAGAGAACAUUUAAGCAAGCAGAAAAGUAUUUCCCAUUGUGUAUGCACAAUCAGACUGGUACACUGCACAGUUAGUUUCUGCUAUGAAUUCCAGAGAGUUCAAAAGGUAACAUUAGUUGCACCUAUGUGGUUUUGCUCAAGUAAAUGAGGACAUUUUCUCUGCACAGUGCCCACACUUUCGCUACUAGCAGCUACUUCUAGUUGUGCACAGCCAAGAGCCAUUUUCUUUCAAAAUAUGUUCCAUGAUCCCAAACUUUUCUGCGUGGACUUAUUUGGGAAAGAACAAAGCCAGCUGAUGCCCUUGCUCCAGUCGAUGGGGGUACAUACAACCCUGUCUGGAGGAGUGAAGUCAGGUGAGUGCAAUCAGGAUACAUGCAGUUGGAAACCUUCCUGCCUUUCCUCCCAUCAGGUCUUUGUCAUACUCUACUCUAAAUAAGAGCACAUGUUACUUAAGACAGUAAUGUGAACAUUUUGCAAGGCGAAUUGCUGCAGAUAUGUAAUGGCAGAAUGUGGAAGAGGAUAAGCAACAAAUGCUCUGCAUUGUCAGGCUCAUACCACAGAUUAUCUCCUAGAGAAUUACAUUACUCCACCUGGAUGCUAAUAAAUAUAUUCAAGUAAAUUCCACUAUAUUAGUAUGGCAUUUUUAGCUUAAAAAUGUAUUAAACUCAAUUCAUACAAAAGUAUUAGCAUUUCAAAACUAGACCUAUACAGAAAUAUUUUCCUUACCAAUUUCCUGAUCUGAGUCACUGCUUUUAAUUCAAGACAGCUGUUCCAUGACAGGACAGGACUCAACUGAGAUCCCAGUGAUGACUCCAUUGCCUUGGGUGUAGUAACGAAGACGUGGCCACUGCAGGGUUGUGGUCUGGUUUUUAAACAUAACAUGGCAAGUUAGUGAAACAUUAAAAUGCAAGAGAUCAUUAUAUUCAAGACUUUCUCUUCCCUGCUCCUUCUCCUAAAGGGGAAAUCAGACACACAGGAUUGUAGACUUCUGCCACCACUUGCCAUGGGUGGGUGCAGUUGGACACCAGCUUAAGGCAGAAAGGACAAAGCUGAGGAUGAGCUGAAAGUGCUUGCACCAGCCCCACGGCUCCAUGCUCCUCCAGUGUGUUUUUGAGUAGCAUCAUGCUUCUGAGAAUAUGUUCCUUAGAGGACUUGGUGAAAAAGAAUAAGAGCAUGAUAAGCAAGACCAAAUAAAUAUUACAUAAACUUAUUUUCAUAAGUAAAUCUCAAGGUACUUUACAAUGGAAGGUCCAUCUUUUUUCCUUUAUGCAACACGAGAAACUGAGGCACAGAGAAAGUACAUAAAUAAAUAUAAAUUAUAAAUUCUUCAGAUUUUGUCUUGAACAGAAAUCAGAAUUUACAAUUCAUUGGUUAUUCUGAAAUAAAAAAUAAAAUAUAAAAUAUUGAAAGGGAGAAAAGUAAACUGGAACUUUGUUGUCAACAUUAGACAGGAAGCUAGAAAAUGUUGUCACUUUAACCCAGGGAAUGUCCUUCGUCAUUGUAUAUUACAGUGUUAAAAAGGUAUAAUCAGUAGUACAGAUUAAAAGUCAAAUAACAGUAAUUAUAAUGAUGAAAUAUAUCUUUUAUUGAAAUAUGUCAUAUUAAAAAGAAAUAAAAUGAACAGUGUACAUUAUUCUCAAUUGACAAUUUUGUUUAUACAAUCAAAUUUCUGCAAAAUACUCCAACUAUGAAAACAAAGUUUUUUUUUUUAAUGGAAAGGGGUUUAGUUUAUCUUAAGACUUGAUGUGGUGACAUUAUGUUGGCUGUGUUUUAUGCUGUGGAUUUACUGUCAUACCCAGUGACGUCAGCACAGACCACGUCAUUAAGUUAGGGGUUCACCACUUCAACCAAGUGUUUAGCUUUCUGGGUUGAAGGUUUGGAGAAAUUUAUUUGUGGGAUAAAUGGAGAUUUAGGCUGUUGAAGCAUAAGUGUUGUUUAGAAAAUAUGUGCUAUUUACAUUGUGCACAAAACUAUAUGAGACACAGAUAUAAGAAUGUAUUACUAUGUAUAUAUCUAGUAUAAACACACCAUGAUUAAAUAUCAUUUGUUCUGUAAUUGUCAAUUGAGAAAAUAAAUUGUAAGACAAAAGCAUUGGUAAUGAUUGAACACAGACAGUUUAAUCAAGCAGCAACUUUUGAAGAAGUAAUUUUGUCCUAAAAGUCAAAAGUAAGUAAAGCCAUAAUUGAACUUAAACUGCUGAAGUUCAAAUUAAAGCACAUAUUCACCAUCAAUGACUGUGCCUAAAGACACAGGCAGUGAUACAGAGGCAGAAGUGAGAAGCACAGCUGGUUCAAGCACAGCUGGCACCUCCCUGGGAAAGUGCCAAUAAUCCCUCUGACACAUGCAAGGCUCCCAGUGCUGGAGAAAACCAAGAAUACAGGGCUAAAAUUUGGCAGCUACUUAUCAGCAUGUGAUUUAGUGACAUAAGAUAGCUAAGUACAUAAUUACCUAUAUAUAUAUUUUUUAAUUCUCAAAAUACUGCUGGUGCACAGGAGUUCUCAAUGGGAAUCAGGAAGAAAUCUGGGAGACUUUCCAAGUGCAGGAUUGGAAGGCUUACAUAGUCACAAUUAUGAUUUUAGAAAAACAGACCACAAAUAUGUCACGCAGACUGGAGAGUGUGAUGUAUAGAUAAACACAUACACACUGCAUUGAUUGUAUUUUGUAACAAAAGGGAUGAAGACCAGCAUGUGUGUCUUUGACAGGAUAGCUCAAACAAAAAUCACAUGUACAGCAAACAUUCCCCAUAAUUCUUGAAAUUAGGCAAAAGUGUGUUAAAACUCCAAGUUGCACAAGGACUUAAAAUGCUUGUAUGCAGUUUGGGAAAUGAUUGAAGGAAAAUAGAAAGUGUCUGUGACAAGAAAGCAAAAAGACAGCUUUGAGAUGAUGGUAACAUAUUUUUAGAGCAUAAGUAAGUUCUCUUAAAAUCAGUUCUCUCUAUGCUUGUUCAUUACUCCUAGUCAUAUUACUAGAAAUUCCUUCAACGUACCUGGGAGCACAAAUUAACAUAAUAUUAGCAAUGAAUCUACUGACAUAUUUCAAGUACUUGGACUACUGUGAACUGAGAGAUUGAGUCAAUUUUAAGAGAUCACUUAAAAUCAACUUCAGUACAUUGUUUCUCCUGGUGUGAAGUAAUGUGGUUAUGUGGUCUCACUCAACAAAGUCGUGCCUGCGUGGAGCAGCUGGUGUGCCUGAUCUUCACGUGUGGUCUCCCCUUGAUUUUGCUGGAUUCAGGAUCAUCUGCAGAGAGCACAUGUAUCUGGAUAAUGGAUUUGCCUCACUGAAAUUGCAGCCUUCAAGACAGACCAGCAGCUCAGCAGUGCACCUGGAUACUUUAGCAGGAAAUGAAGCUGUUUGGAAUACAAAGGAAAAAAAAAUCUGCAUGGGUCAUGUUUUUCAUAUGAAAAUAAUUAGAUAUUGUAGAUAUUCCUUCCCCUCUCUGGAUGAUUCUCACAGAUCAAUGAGUGGAGGCUGUCCUGAGUGGUCCAGGACAGUGGUCCAGGUUAAUAAGUACUUUGUUAAACCUAUUCACAUCUUUCCUUAAUCACAGAUCUUACAUAAACUCUGUUAUCAAUACUCGAUACUUCCAAAGGAGAGCUAAAACGAGAGAGAGUCUGUUUCAGAAAAGCACUGAAUGCACACAUACAAAUCACACAGAUGGGCUUACUGCUGACAAACAGACAAAAAUCAAAAAUUAAAUGUCCACAUUCCUUAUCAAGAAAAGGAAACAAACAAAUAAAAGAUCAGAAGAAGGGAUCAUUCAGUAUUUUUUCCCAAUAUUAUAUGAAUAGUCUAUUUGUAAGCCUGGAGAGUGAUGUGUUUAAACUGGAAGCAUAAAUGUAUAUUUCAAUACAAAAGCACAAGAACAUCUGUAUUUCUAACUGUUUAUGUCACAAUUUGCACAUAUUUUCUUAUGUCUUCCAACCAAAAUUUAUUCUACCUAUUUUUUUUAAUAAUAAGUUUCUAAGAAUAGGUAUAUUAAAUAAAAGAAAUUAUGUGUGGGAUGCAAAUUCUCAUUAUAAAAAUGUUUCUAUCCCUCUGGCUUUAGAGAUAACUUACCAAACAUAAAUUGCUUCAGUAAUAAGGUUUCAUGAAUACAUUACAUAUCCCUGCAUAAAUUUGUGGGGAGCACUUUUUGUCUGAAGCAUAGAAAACAUUCCACAAUAAAUACAAAUGUUCAUA